AGAUGACUCUCGGCAACGGAUAUCUAGGCUCUUGCCACGAUGAAGAACGUAGCGAAAUGCGAUACUUGGUGUGAAUUGCAGAAUCCCGUGAACCAUCGAGUUUUUGAACGCAAGUUGCGCCCGAGGCCACCUGGCCAAGGGCACGCCUGCCUGGGCGUC
rnacentral:rRNA from 1 species